rnacentral:rRNA from 1 species
AUUGAACGCUGGCGGCAGGCCUAACACAUGCAAGUCGAACGGCAGCACAGAAGAGCUUGCUCUUUGGGUGGCGAGUGGCGGACGGGUGAGUAAUGUCUGGGAAACUGCCCGAUGGAGGGGGAUAACUACUGGAAACGGUAGCUAAUACCGCAUAACGUCGCAAGACCAAAGUGGGGGACCUUCGGGCCUCACACCAUCGGAUGUGCCCAGAUGGGAUUAGCUAGUAGGUGGGGUAAUGGCUCACCUAGGCGACGAUCCCUAGCUGGUCUGAGAGGAUGACCAGCCACACUGGAACUGAGACACGGUCCAGACUCCUACGGGAGGCAGCAGUGGGGAAUAUUGCACAAUGGGCGCAAGCCUGAUGCAGCCAUGCCGCGUGUAUGAAGAAGGCCUUCGGGUUGUAAAGUACUUUCAGCGGGGAGGAAGGUGUUGAGGUUAAUAACCUCAGCAAUUGACGUUACCCGCAGAAGAAGCACCGGCUAACUCCGUGCCAGCAGCCGCGGUAA